rnacentral:rRNA from 1 species
UACGUAGGGAGCGAGCGUUGUCCGGAUUCAUUGGGCGUAAAGAGCUCGUAGGCGGCUUGAUAAGUCGGAUGUGAAACCUCCAGGCUCAACCUGGAGUCGCCAUCCGAUACUGUCAUGGCUAGAGUCCGGUAGGGGCCCACGGAACUCCUGGUGUAGCGGUGAAAUGCGCAGAUAUCAGGAGGAACACCGGUGGCGAAGGCGGGUCUCUGGGCCGGAUGAACUGACGCUGGAGGAGCGAAAGCGUGGGGAGCGAACAGG